CCAGAAAUCCUGCCAAGGUGCCUAGUUUCCCAGACUCCACAGUCAUGUCCCUUUAAAAUGUCUCUUAAGACAGACAUCUAGCUAGGACUAUAGCUCUCCUAUUUAAUUUUUCUGGAAAAUUCUGCCUCAACUAGUCUCGAUGCUUUUUUUACACUCUAUAAAUUUAAAUGUAGUGUAAAUUUCCAACCUGUCUUUUUGAUGAGGAUCAUCCACCCCCCACCCCCACCCCUACCCCCACCCCCACCCCCCUUUCUCACGGGUCCAUCCAGGGCUCUGGAGUGCCCUCGCUGACAGCAGCCGGUAGGUGGCACCAAAGCAUCUGAUACAGAACUGUGAGCCUCAGUAACUGCAGCCUUAGGGAUUUAUGUGAUCCCUGCCGAUUUCCAUGGCCUGUGAGAGUAGAUAGUUUCAUUAGACUGGAAUCUUUACAUCUCCAAGUUCCACAUCGGCUUUCUCAAUAAAUUCAAAGUGCCUCUUGAUGACUUGAUGAUAAGAACAGCCUUCUUCUCCUCACUUAGAGCUGAAAGUCAGCUGUGGUAGGUGGAGAGGACCAACCACCUGGAAGGCUCUGAGAUCAUCCUCUUGGCAGAACUGCCA
rnacentral:lncRNA from 1 species